AUACAGAGGGUGCAAGCGUUAUUCGGAAUUACUGGGCGUAAAGCGCGCGUAGGCGGAUGAUUAAGUCAGUUGUGAAAGCCCUGGGCUCAACCUAGGAACUGCAUCUGAUACUGGUCGUCUAGAGUUUAAGAGAGGGAAGUGGAAUUCCAGGUGUAGCAGUGAAAUGCGUAGAUAUCUGGAGGAACAUCAGUGGCGAAGGCGACUUCCUGGCUUAAAACUGACGCUGAGGUGCGAAAGCGUGGGUAGCGAACGGGAUUAGAAACCCUUGUAGUCC
rnacentral:rRNA from 1 species